AAGAACGUAUUAGCCAAGCAGUUGAAAUAAUGAUAAAUCAUGUUGAGAAUUUAAAGAGACUUUACAAAAAGGAACAUUUAGAAUUAGAAGAAAUGCGUAAUUUAUGGAAUGAACAAGGAUUUAAUAAUGAUGAUAGUGGUGGUGAGACUUGUUCCGGAGAUGAAAGUAAAAGAUCUUUAAGGUCAAUAAUGAUGUCUUCCACAGCAAAACAGCGGUGCAAACGAAACAAUCAAAAAUAUAAAUAAUAGAAAAAUUAAAGAAAUUCCCGAGAGACAGAACGGCCUGGAAGAAGCCACAAACGACAGCAUAUCUUCCAUCUUCGGAGGGAGACGGCGUCGUUUGGCCAAACGACUCUUUUGUACCGGUGCCUGGGCCGCUUCGACGAUCGUCGCUCUGUGGGUGUUGGCCAUUAAGUUUCUGGACGAGAAUUAUCCGUGGGAUCUGUCGACGGACCUCUGGUUGCCGGAAUUAUGGGAAAAAGCUUGGUCGAAAGUGGUCUGGAGACGUCCGGGAAAACCACCAAUCUGAGACUGCACAAUAAAUAUAUGUAUCGAUAUAUAUAUUUAUGGGACGAUUAAACUCGAUCAAUAAAUAUUUAUUCUCACUGCUUCUAAUGAAAUAAUUAAUAAGAGAAACUGUGACGUAGAAUCUAUGUCCAAGAUAAAAGUAUUUUCCGUGUGAUCGAUCUGUGAUAUAUUAUUCCAUCACCCGUUAAUUAUAUAUUACCUGAAGAUCAAAAGAUUAGAUUUUAACAUAUAUAUAUUUCAUGUUUUGAGAAAAAUUAAAAUUGUUUUUACCUUUA